UAAUUCUUUCACCAUCACAUCUCGGGUCUCAUGAUAACCUUUGCAUGCCACACGGAAGCACGGAAGGCGACACACUUGCUCGGUGCAUUUCUGAAAGCUACAGGGUUUAUUCAGGAUCAGAAUUGCUUGAAUCUUCCACUGAUGGCAGUGAUUCACUUCUAAAGAUGCUUUGGCACCACUCAAAUGCAAUUCUGUGCUGUACUACGACGGUUUGCACUUUACCUUUUUCUUUCAUUAUAGUUAAAUUCAGAAUCAACUAGCAAGAUCGCUUUUUCCUCAUGAUAUACUUUCUACUACUGUCUUCUCUAUUGUUCCAUUUCUGUCAUGAACUAAUGAGCUAAUUUCAUGCAUAGAAAAGGAAUACCCCUUACACAUGUUUGAAAAUUGAAAUCUCAUGUCGGACAAAUGAUCGAAAUAUAUCGGCAUAGGUCAUAACUAUUUAGAAGUAGUGUUCAUACUGACCUGAACUAACCAGUUAUCACCAUAGAUUUUAUAUCUCAUCUUCACUUUGUUUUGGAUGUCUCCGUUAAACAUGGCAAGCGGUGCUUCAAUAUCUUUGACAUACAUAGCUUCCGAAAGGGCAAUCCCAGGAUACGGAGGUGGAAUGAGCUCAGCAAAAGCUGCAUUGGAGAGCGAUACAAAAGUAAGUUCAACUCUUCUGUAAUUGUUGUAU